rnacentral:rRNA from 15 species
GAUAGGAUAGUCGAAAGGUCUGGAAAGUCCUGCUAUAGAGCGUGAUAGCCGCGUAGACGAAAUCUGAAAAUACCUAUCUGAUACCUGAGUAGGGCGGGGCACGUGAAACCCUGUCUGAAUCCGGGAGGACCAUCUCCCAAGCCUAAAUACUACCUAAUGACCGAUAGUGAAUCAGUACCGUGAGGGAAAGGUGAAAAGCACCCCG